CGUGCACGCAAGACAUCUGCUUUCCGAUAGUAACUUUCUACAACCGAUAACCGAUAGUCCAGAUCUAUCCAAAUCGUUCCAUAGCUUGCGGAGUCAAAAUCGUGGGAAAAAAAAGACGUUAAGAAUCUCUUCGAUGGAGUUCACUGUUCAUGUAAAACUAGAAAGGAGUCCGAAGAAUAGAAAAAAGUAGAAGAGGAACUGCGAACAAGGAAAGGCAGACGGAAAGGCCAAAGCGAGGGAG